rnacentral:lncRNA from 1 species
ACUAACCAACCGAGCUGCCUUUCCGGCUCGACUCUGCCGGUGAGAGCGGUAGCGCGUGGCGGCCGUAGGCGAGCGCAGCGUGCGGCAGCAUCGCCCUUCGCGGCGAGGCGGCGGGGGCGCAACCGGUGAGGGGACCUACGUUGCUGCCGCAAUCCGCCGCUUGCCUUCGCCGCCGCCCGCGCUGAAUCCGAGCCGGAGCGCGCGUCGGUUGCCGUCACAUCGACCCCACCCGGCCCGGCGCGGCGCCAGCACUCGCCGCCCCUCCGCCGUCCGCGCGCACAGGUGAGAUGAAGCAUCUAGAUGAGCUGAGUCCGCAUCGAGGAAUAGGUUGAUGUCAUCUCCUGUGCUGUCGCCACUCGAGGAUAGCCGAGCGGAGCACUCUGUUCGGCGUGAGCUCGCGGUUUUCGAGACUCAGGUUCGUCAUCGGCGACCUGGCGUUGCCGCCGUCGAGCCAGUUUCUGAUGGCAUUGGCUUCAUACGUGUACCCGUCUGCUGCGAUGUGAGGAUCAGUCAUCACCUCCUGUUCACCAUCCAUCGGAGCAAAAGUUCUGGCGGCACAUAUAUUGCAAGAAGGUUUUCAUUGGGUUCCCUGUAAGUGCACACAACUAAUGGAUUUUAGUCAUUUUCCUGGUUUCUUGGUAAGAGUGCAAUACACUGGUAUCCUAGUUCAAUUCGUUGACAGAAGUAAAGAUACUCAAAUGUAGCAUUAUGUGUCCUACAAUUCUCCGCAUGCUGUACGAAGUACUAUUAUGCAUGAGAUGCACUAAGCUCUAUGAAGUUCAAAAAGUCAGGUAGCAAAUGACCAUUCACUUGACUUUACCUUGUGCAUAUCAGAUGGCCAUUGCAGGUAAACCAUAUCUUGCAUGAUGGGGAUGCAGUCUCCAUCAGCUUGAGGGCUAUCUUGGAAUUUGGUUCUUUCAUUUCCCUACAGGUUAUAAUAUCAUAAGGUUUGUGCACAUAUAUUUAGUAUGGAUUCAUCUCAUAAAAUGUUCUAUCUAUUCCUGCUACCUAUGUAGUUUGAUUAGUCCUGGACUCCUGAUGCUGGUGUAGAAUGAAAUAAAUUUACGACUGAAGUUUUAGUUCAUUAAUUUGCUGACGCUGAUAGCCUAGUCC